UCUCCGUUGGUGAACCAGCGGAGAGAUCAUUACAGGACUCGCAAGACUCCUACAACCCUGUGAACUUAACUAUAAGCACGUUGCUUCGGCGGGUGUCUCGGAGGGGGCUCUCCCUCCCCGAGACGCUAAACCCGCCGGCAGCCUACUAUACUCUGUCUCUUUGCGUUGGCAUCUCGAGUACAAUCAAACAAGUUAAAACUUUCAACAACGGAUCUCUUGGUUCUG
rnacentral:misc_RNA from 1 species